AGUGAACGCUGGCGGUAGGCCUAACACAUGCAAGUCGAACGGCAGCACAGUAAGAGCUUGCUCUUACGGGUGGCGAGUGGCGGACGGGUGAGGAAUACAUCGGAAUCUACUUUUUCGUGGGGGAUAACGUAGGGAAACUUACGCUAAUACCGCAUACGACCUACGGGUGAAAGCAGGGGAUCUUCGGACCUUGCGCGAUUGAAUGAGCCGAUGUCGGAUUAGCUAGUUGGCGGGUUAAAGGCCCACCAAGGCGACGAUCCGUAGCUGGUCUGAGAGGAUGAUCAGCCACACUGGAACUGAGACACGGUCCAGACUCCUACGGGAGGCAGCAGUGGGGAAUAUUGGACAAUGGGCGCAAGCCUGAUCCGGCCAUACCGCGUGGGUGAAGAAGGCCUUCGGGUUGUAAAGCCCUUUUGUUGGGAAAGAAAAGCAGCAGGUUAAUACCCCGCUGUUCUGACGGUACCCAAAGAAUAAGCACCGGCUAACUUCGUG
rnacentral:rRNA from 1 species